rnacentral:rRNA from 1 species
UACGUAGGGAGCAAGCGUUGUCCGGAAUCAUUGGGCGUAAAGCGCGCGUAGGCGGCCCUGUAAGUCCGUUGUGAAAGUCAAAGGCUCAACCUUUGAAAGCCGAUGGAUACUGCAGGGCUAGAGUUCGGAAGAGGCGAGUGGAAUUCCUGGUGUAGCGGUGGAAUGCGCAGAUAUCAGGAGGAACACCGGUGGCGAAGGCGGGUCUCUGGGCCGAUGACUGACGCUGAGGAGCGAAAGCGUGGGGAGCGAACAGG